rfam:Candidatus Glomeribacter gigasporarum BEG34, WGS project CAFB01000000 data, contig: Contig5-1692
GAGGGAAGGCCCCUCGAGAUCGACUUGCAGGAGUAGGUCUCAAACCGCCACGAGCUGCAAAGGUUAAGAGCCUUGGUGGUGAGCGUCGUGGAAAAGGCAAAGAUGAACUUUGCGAGGU